CUACGGGUUGCAGCAGUGGGGAAUAUUGCACAAUGGGGGAAACCCUGAUGCAGCGACGCCGCGUGCGUGAAGAAGGCCUUCGGGUUGUAAACCGCUUUCAAUUGGGAAGAAGGGAUGAGAGUUAAUACCUCUCUGACUUGACGGUACCUUUAGAAGAAGCACCGGCUAAUUUCGUGCCAGCAGCCGCGGUAAUACGGAAGGUGCAAGCGUUGAUCGGAAUUACUGGGCGUAAAGCGUGCGCAGGCGGUUUUGUAAGUCGGAUGUGAAAUCCCCGGGCUCAACCUGGGAACUGCGUUCGAAACUGGAAGGCUAGAGUGUGGCAGAGGGGGGUAGAAUUCCACGUGUAGCAGUGAAAUGCGUAGAGAUGUGGAGGAAUACCAAUGGCGAAGGCAGCCCCCUGGGAUAACACUGACGCUCAGGCACGAAAGCGUGGGGAGCAAACAGGAUUAGAUACCCGCGUAGUC
rnacentral:rRNA from 1 species